AGCUUCUAUGUAAAGCACCAUCCCUUUUUUUUGCCAGUGCCAUUAGAAAAUGGCCAGUUUUUCAUCUAAAGAAACCAGGUCGUUGAGGUUUUACAACUGGAGAAAAAUAGGUGUCGUCGUCGGGGAAGCCUUACAGUGGAAUUUGCAGACUUUCUCUCCCCUCAGCAGCUGGAAUUACACAGCCACUAAGGACAGACCUCAGGAGGAAAAGCCGCUUCGCCAGCUUGGGAAACACAUAUGCCACUAGAAACCUCCACAUCAGAGCAGAAGCAGUAUCUCUGAACUCUCUGGCCAGCUGCCAGGAAGUCUAUGCAGGAUGUUUCUGCUCUUAAUAAGAAUGAGCCUCCCAGCAAGCAGGAGGAAAUAUUGUCACCAAGCCUGCCAUCUGCCAGCUGUCACAGAGCAGCAUGCAGCUACUGUCAGAGCUACCACAGAUCUAAGAAGACAAAGAGAGUGUUGCUGUCUGCUGUAAGGGCCUGAGGUGGAAGAGCUGCUGCACAAACGCAAAAGGAGAUGGAAGAACGGAAACUUAAAAGCUCCCAGGGAAAAGAGCACUUGAUCAGCACCAGUGGCCACUCUGGUUUAUGAGCACAGCUCUACAUGGAAAGUGUCUGACCAGCAGCUUCCCAUUUCCUUCAAGAAAACAGUGAGGGACUCUGGUGUAUGGUCCCUGCAUCACCUACUUAGACUACAGUGAACAGGUUUAUGUCUCUGUUAUACUCAGCAAAAGCAUCAGAUCUGCCCCUUUUAGACCUCGCUGCAAUGAAGGAAUCUCAAAACUAACGUGACAGAAAAGUAAUUUAUUUUAGCUGAAUGGCUAUGAGGUUUCUUUUAAUGAUCCAUCUUUUCCAAUUUGCAGCGGUGUCAGACUCCACAUGGAUUUCAAACAGAAAAGUCCCAAAUAUCUGAAAUCUGCUUAGAAAGUGAGCUAUAUACUUGGCCCAGAUGAUUCCCCCUUUCCCCUACACCACAGCACACUCCCAGCCUUGCCAAUAUGUUCCCCUUUCGCAAGAUGCAGGGUGGGAGCAAACACUAUUCAAUUCCCUGGCUGGUUCAGCCUUGUUCUCUUUUUACACUAUGGCACAUAUUUGUACAGCAUGCAACAACCAAAUGAGAACAUCUUUUCCAACUGGUAUUUCUUAAUGGCAUUUGGAGAAAGAUUUGUAAGUAAUGUUACACGAAAUGCAAAUAAAAGCCUCCUUAACACACUUCCACGACUCUAUUUUCCCCUUGUAUUUUCUUUUUUGUACCUCUUUCAGUCUGUAUUUUCUUUGAUUGAAAGCACUGAAAAACUGUUAAGCAAAGAGUGCUCCUGUCUCCUCACUCUCUCCAAUAUGUUUUAUUUCUGUUCUUUUAAGUGCUUUGGAUCAGGUCCUUGCCUCUGGCACAAUUCCUCCACCCCUGACUUAUGUCUAGAAUAGUGUCUUCUGGCAAGUUUCUUGCUCCUCACAGGCUGGCUACUGUGUGCAGGGCUCCUGCUUUUCAUGGGUCAAGGCCUUAGGCAUCUUGA